AACAGAUGUUCUAUGAUGGUCUUCAGAAGCCAGCCACUUCUCAGCACUGCUGAGAAAGCCAGCUGGCAACACUGAUGCUAAAAA